rnacentral:rRNA from 1 species
UCAGACGAUGCGUCAUGCAUAUCAAUAAGCGGAGGAAAAGAAACUAACAAGGAUUCCCCUAGUAACGGCGAGUGAAGCGGGAAGAGCUCAAAUUUGAAAUCUUAAAGGGUUUCCCUUUACGAAUUGUAGUUUAAAGAAGUGUUUUCUGUUGAGGUUUUGGUAAAAGUUCUUUGGAAUAGGACAUCAUAGAGGGUGAGAAUCCCGUAUUUGACCUUUACUUUCAACUUUGUGAUACACUUUCAAAGAGUCGGAUUGUUUGGGAAUGCAGUCCAAAAUGGGUGGUAAAUAUUUCAUCUAAAGCUAAAUAUUGGCGAGAGACCGAUAGCGAACAAGUACCGUGAGGGAAAGAUGAAAAGAACUUUGAAAAGAGAGUUAAACAGUACGUGAAAUUGUCAAAAGGGAAGCGUUUGACACCAGUGUUGUUUUUCUGAAAAUCAAUUAAAGGAACUGUUUAUGCUAAGUUGUUUAGACUUUAUCAGCUAACUGUUUAGUUUUGAGCUUUUCUUUAAUGCACUUUUCAGUUAACAAGUCAACAUCAAUUUCUUUUGCUGUAAAAAAGCUUGAGGAAGGUGGCUUGAGAUUCGUCUUAAGUGUUUAUAGCCUCUUGCCUAUGCAGUCGGAGAGAUUGAGGUCUGCAGCGUAGAUCCUUCGGGGCUAAAUGCAUUUGUGCUAAGUUAUAGCAUUUUAUAGACAACUUGUUGACUAUGAUUUGUCUUGUAGCUUACUCGCUUAUGUUAUUUUACCUACGCUUAGGAUGUUGAAUCUGUGCGAGACUAC